rnacentral:rRNA from 1 species
UACGAAUGGUGCAACCGUUGCUCGGAAUUAUUGGGCGUAAAGCGCACGUAGGCGGCAUUGCAAGUCGGAUGUGAAAUCUUAUGGCUUAACCAUAAAAGUGCAUCCGAAACUGCAGUGCUUGAGUACUUAAGAGGAUCGCGGAAUUCCCGGUGUAGAGGUGAAAUUCGUAGAUAUCGGGAGGAACACCAGUGGCGAAGGCGGCGAUCUGGGAAGAUACUGACGCUGAGGUGCGAAAGCGUGGGGAGCAAACAGG